rnacentral:rRNA from 1 species
GACGAACGCUGGCGGCGUGCUUAACACAUGCAAGUCGAACGGUGAACUCCGCUUGCGGGGGGAUCAGUGGCGAACGGGUGAGUAACACGUGGGCAACCUGCCCUCAGCUCUGGGAUAACUCCAAGAAAUUGGGGCUAAUACCGGAUAUGACCGCUGACCGCAUGGCCUGGUGGUGGAAAGAUUUAUCGGCUGGGGAUGGGCCCGCGGCCUAUCAGCUUGUUGGUGGGGUAGUGGCCUACCAAGGCGACGACGGGUAGCCGGCCUGAGAGGGUGACCGGCCACACUGGGACUGAGACACGGCCCAGACUCCUACGGGAGGCAGCAGUGGGGAAUAUUGCGCAAUGGGCGAAAGCCUGACGCAGCGACGCCGCGUGGGGGAUGACGGCCUUCGGGUUGUAAACCUCUUUCAGCAGGGACGAAGCGAAAGUGACGGUACCUGCAGAAGAAGCACCGGCCAACUACGUG